rnacentral:rRNA from 1 species
GACGAACGCUGGCGGCGUGCCUAAUACAUGCAAGUCGAACGCUGAAGGAGGAGCUUUCUUCUCCGGAUGAGUUGCGAACGGGUGAGUAACGCGUAGGUAACCUGCCUGGUAGCGGGGGAUAACUAUUGGAAACGAUAGCUAAUACCGCAUAAGAGUAGAUGUCGCAUGACAUUUGCUUAAAAGGUGCAACUGCACCACUACCAGAUGGACCUGCGUUGUAUUAGCUAGUUGGUGAGGUAACGGCUCACCAAGGCAACGAUACAUAGCCGACCUGAGAGGGGGGUCGGCCACACUGGGACGGAGACACGGCCCAGACGCCUACGGGAGGCAGCAGUAGGGAAUCUUCGGCAAUGGGCGGAAGUCUGACCGAGCAACGCCGCGUGAGUGAAGAAGGUUGUCGGAUCGUAAAGCUCGGUUGUAAGAGAAGAACGAGUGUGAGAGUGGAAAGUUCACACUGUGACGGUAUCUGACAAGAAAGGGACGGCUAACUACGUG